CCCCUUAGGAUCCAACACCUAAAGGAGUUGAGCAUCCUCCAUCUCCACGCCCAAGAGGAGCUUGGGCAUCCUCUCUUCCUUACUGAUUUUCAAACCUUGAUUACUUCAUAAUCAAGAAAAGAAGAGUAAUAGAAAAAGAGAAAAAAAAGAUCAAGAAAAAGAUCAAAGAGUUGAUCGCGAUCCAGAUUUCGUUUAGAUUCGCAGAGUGAUUGUUCUUGGAGGAAAAAGAUCAACACC
rnacentral:lncRNA from 1 species